UUCUCAUUGCCAUUCCCAUUGCCAUUCCCAUUGCCAUUGCCAUUCCCAUUGUCACUGCCAUUGUCACUGCCAUUGUCACUGCCAUUGUCAUUGCCAUAAUCACUGCCAUUCCUAUUCCCAUUCCCAUUGCCAUUGCCAUUCCAUUGCCAUUCCCAUUGCCAUUCCAUUGCCAUUCCCAUUCCCAUUGUCAUUCCCAUUCCCAUUCCCAUUGCCAUUCCAUUGCCAUUCCCAUUCCCAUUGUCAUUCCCAUUCCCAUUGCCAUUCCCAUUGCCAUUGCCAUUCCCAUUGCCACAUCCAUUGCCAUUGCCAUUCCCAUUGCCAUUUCCAUUGCCAUUCCAUUGUCACUGCCAUUGCCAUUCUCAUUUCCAUUGCCAUUCCAUUGCCAUUCCCAUUGCCAUUCCCAUUGCCACAUCCAUUCCCAUUGCCACAUCCAUUGCCAUUCCCAUUGCCAUUCCCAUUGCCACAUCCAUUGCCAUUGCCAUUCCAUUUCCAUUCCAUUGCCAUUCUCAUUUCCAUUCCAUUGCCAUUCCCAUUGCCAUUGCCAUUCCAUUGCCAUUCCCAUUGCCAUUCCCAUUGCCAUUCCCAUUGCCAUUCCCAUUCCCAUUGCCAUUGCCAUUGCCAUUCCCAUUGCCAUUCCAUUGCCAUUCCCAUUGCCAUUCCAUUGCCCUACUCAUUCCCACUGCCAUUCCCAUUGCCAUUCCCAUUGCCAUUCCCAUUGCCAUUCCCAUUGCCAUUCCAUUCCCAUUGCCAUUCCCAUUCCCAUUCUCAUUUCCAUUGCCAUUGCCAUUCCCAUUGCCAUUGCCAUUGCCAUUCCCAUUCCCAUUGCCAUUCCCAUUCCCAUUCUCAUUUCCAUUGCCAUUGCCAUUCCCAUUACCACAUCCAUUGCCAUUCCAUUUCCAUUCUCAUUACCAUUGCCAUUCCCAUUUCCAUUCCCACACAGCCCCAUGAUUUCCCACCCCAUGCCCUCACCCCACCCCCAUGAAAUCGGAUGGAUUUGCUGCAGCCCAGCUGUGCUUUGAUG
rnacentral:lncRNA from 1 species